rnacentral:lncRNA from 1 species
AAAUGGCAGCGAAGCAAACGACGAUCCUAGUUGCCGCCAUCCUCGUAACGGCUUUUUACGGCGGCGCGGCGACAUCGGCGCAGGCACCGGCAGCUGAUCCAGCGAUGGCCAUGUCGCCGUCCGCCAUGGCACCGACGCCGGACUGUAUGACGAACUUGCUCAACUUAUCGGAUUGUUUGACGUACGUGGAGGCCGGAAGCAACUUGACGAAGCCGGACAAGCCUUGCUGUCCGGAAUUGGCUGGGCUAGUGGAAAGUAGCCCUCAAUGCUUGUGCUAUUUGAUGGAUAAGAAUGCGACGGCGAACUAUGGGAUCAACAUUGACAUGGAAAGAGCUCUUAAGCUGCCUAAUGUUUGCCAUGUCAAAACCCCUCCUGUUAGUCUUUGUUCUGGUAAUUCUACCUUUCCCUCUUCUUUUUUUACAACCUUUCAUGAAUUUUUGAUGGAGUAUAACUGGUCUUGUUGUUUGGAUUGAGAAUUGGCGGGUAAAGGAUUGAAUAAUUUUGAGUGAGAAAAUAACAACCGAAAAUUAAAACAGGAAAACUGAUUGAAUUGAUUUAUAGAUUUUUUUAAUUGUUUAUUUAGUUAUUGGAUGAAUAUAACGAGGAGAAUUAAAUAUUGAACUCAAAUUUGUUAUAAUUGUUAGCGUUAAUUGUAAGAUAUUUUCAAACUAUACUUUCGAUUUUAAAUUUGGUUCGAAAGUUUAAAAAUAUUGUAAUUAAAUUUUUAAAUUUUUUUAGAAUAUUCUUUAUAUCAAGAUGGUCUUUUCCGUUAGUAUUUCAUAAAUUUAAGCUUCAAAUGUCAAUUCAAAAUUGAUAUGUAUAACUUUAGAUCUUAUGUUUUCGAAAAAGAUAGACGUUAACAAUUUAGGUAGAUUAUAUUUUAUUUUAUUACAUUGAAUCUAAGCUGUUAUGCAUUAAGUAUACACAUGUGUAUAAUUUGAUUUACGUGUUUUAAAUAUGCUCAAUAUUUUAUCCAACUAGAACUACUUGAUUGAUAUGAUAUUAAAAUAUUGAAAACUUAAUUAAAACAUCUUGAAGUUUUUGGACCAAUUUAACAUUUGGACCAUAGUUUGAAAACAUUUGUUAGAAUUAACCCAACAUUUUCAAAGAUAAUUACAAUAUGAAUUAUAUUGGUUCUUUUUAAUACAAUUUCUAAAUUUACUUAUAGUCUCAUAAAAUUCAUAAAUAAAAGAAUAAUAUGUUUUAGCGUACUUAAACUCAUGUCUUCUUAUAUUGACAAAAAUAUCCAUUCUAAUUGAACUAAAGCUCUAUCGACGAGUAGGAUUUUUUUUUGAUAACACAAUAUGAGUGAUUUUAUAGUAUUUUUUAAAAAUAUAUUUUUAAUGGUAAAAGUAUUAAUAUAUAAUCACAUUUAAUAAUAUACUUUGAAAUGAAGCUUUGACUGUGGAAUUUAUUAUUUCCCGAGGCUGUUUUAUAUAGUCUAUAAUAGUAGAAACAUAAUAUAUUUAUAAAUCAUAUAAAUUUUGGUUAAUACAUAUAUUCAUGAUAUUUUUUAUUUUAUUUUUUAAUGUUAAUUUUUAUACAUUAUAUUUAAAGAAUAGUUUGGGUGAUGGGGGGGAUAUAGUUGGGUCUCAUUUAAUAUGUUUGAUGGGGGCAUUUAAGGUUUCUCGGUUAGCUCUCAACUAAUUUUACCGCUCUGUCUUUUUUCCAAAUAAAUGAAUCACGUGCACACUGCCUUUUUCAUUUAAAUAAGAUUUUAUUACCAAAACAUUAAUGUUAUUUUUAAAAAAAAUCGUAAAAAUUGUUAAUUUUCACACGAGAAAUUAUUUUAUGUAAUUUUCUCAUAUUAUUCAUAAUUUUUAAUUAUUUAAUUAUAUUUCAAUAAAUUUUUUUUAUGUUAAUACAUAAUUUUAGUAAUUUUUUUUAUCUUGAACCAUAGUCCUGAAAUCUCAAAUCUUAAAUCUCAAAUCCUAAAUUUCGAACCUCAAAUUAUUUGAAAUUUAAAGUUUGAGGUUUGAAUUUGCGGUUCAAAAGUUCAUGUUUGAGAUUUAAAGUUCAGGAUUAAGGUUUAAAAUUUUGGAUUCUAGGUAAAAAAAUUAUUAUCACAUAUUAUAUUUAAUGUAAAUAUUAUUAUCAUUAAAAUUUUAAUUGAUAUUAACAAUUUGUAAUCCAAUUCUCGUCUCAAAAUUUUAAAAAUAGAACUUAAUCAAACUUUAAAAUCAAGUUUUAUUCAUUUACAUAAACCUUGAACUUUAAAUUUAAUAGUUGAAGUAUUAACAUUUAUUUCCAUGAAUUCAAACAGCUAUCAUCGGGGCUCCAAUCGGAGUUCCAACUCAAAGCACUGAAGGACUUGUGUCGCCAGCAUCCGAGCCAACAGGUUCCGUAGCAUACGGACCGUCUCCAUCCGCCAUGGCACCAACACCGGACUGCAUGACAAACUUGUUUAACUUGUCGGAUUGUUUGGGGUACGUGACGGCUGGAAGCAACCUAACGAAGCCGGACAAACCUUGUUGCCCGGAGUUGGCCGGGCUCGUGGAAAGCAGCCCUCAGUGUUUAUGUUUAUUGUUGGAUAAAAACGCGACCUCGAGUUAUGGGGUCGACAUUGACAUCGAUAGAGCUCUUAAGCUACCUAAUGUUUGCCAUGUUAAAACCCCUCCCGUUAGUCUCUGCUCUAGUAAGUAUAUUACUUUCUUUUAAGAAUUUAAUUAAGUCUUAAAAGUAUGGAUAAAAUAUCAAUCGAGAUAUUUAUUUAACUUAAUCAUUAUCUCCAACAUUAUAAGUUAAAUAUAUUGCAAAUACGUAAU